rnacentral:rRNA from 1 species
CCUAUACUGCAAGUCGAGCGGAAGAAGGGAGCUUGCUCCCGGAUGUUAGCGGCGGACGGGUGAGUAACACGUGGGUAACCUGCCUGUAAGACUGGGAUAACUCCGGGAAACCGGAGCUAAUACCGGAUAGUUCCUUGAACCGCAUGGUUCAAGGAUGAAAGACGGUUUCGGCUGUCACUUACAGAUGGACCCGCGGCGCAUUAGCUAGUUGGUGGGGUAAUGGCUCACCAAGGCGACGAUGCGUAGCCGACCUGAGAGGGUGAUCGGCCACACUGGGACUGAGACACGGCCCAGACUCCUACGGGAGGCAGCAGUAGGGAAUCUUCCGCAAUGGACGAAAGUCUGACGGAGCAACGCCGCGUGAGUGAUGAAGGUUUUCGGAUCGUAAAGCUCUGUUGUUAGGGAAGAACAAGUGCGAGAGUAACUGCUCGCACCUUGACGGUACCUAACCAGAAAGCCACGGCUAACUACGUGCCAGCAGCCGCGGUAAUACGUAGGUGGCAAGCGUUGUCCGGAAUUAUUGGGCGUAAAGGGCUCGCAGGCGGUUUCUUAAGUCUGAUGUGAAAGCCCCCGGCUCAACCGGGGAGGGUCAUUGGAAACUGGGAAACUUGAGUGCAGAAGAGGAGAGUGGAAUUCCACGUGUAGCGGUGAAAUGCGUAGAGAUGUGGAGGAACACCAGUGGCGAAGGCGACUCUCUGGUCUGUAACUGACGCUGAGGAGCGAAAGCGUGGGGAGCGAACAGGAUUAGAUACCCUGGUAGUCCACGCCGUAAACGAUGAGUGCUAAGUGUUAGGGGGUUUCCGCCCCUUAGUGCUGCAGCUAACGCAUUAAGCACUCCGCCUGGGGAGUACGGUCGCAAGACUGAAACUCAAAGGAAUUGACGGGGGCCCGCACAAGCGGUGGAGCAUGUGGUUUAAUUCGAAGCAACGCGAAGAACCUUACCAGGUCUUGACAUCCUCUGACAACCCUAGAGAUAGGGCUUUCCCUUCGGGGACAGAGUGACAGGUGGUGCAUGGUUGUCGUCAGCUCGUGUCGUGAGAUGUUGGGUUAAGUCCCGCAACGAGCGCAACCCUUGAUCUUAGUUGCCAGCAUUCAGUUGGGCACUCUAAGGUGACUGCCGGUGACAAACCGGAAGAAAGGUGGGGAUGACGUCAAAUCAUCAUGCCCCUUAUGAACUGGGCUACACACGUGCUACA